GAUGAACGCUGGCGGCGUGCCUAAUACAUGCAAGUCGAGCGAACAGAUGAGGAGCUUGCUCCUCUGACGUUAGCGGCGGACGGGUGAGUAACACGUGGAUAACCUACCUAUAAGACUGGGAUAACGUCGGGAAACCGGAGCUAAUACCGGAUAAUAUAUUGAACCGCAUGGUUCAAUAGUGAAAGACGGUUUUGCUGUCACUUAUAGAUGGAUCCGCGCCGCAUUAGCUAGUUGGUAAGGUAACGGCUUACCAAGGCAACGAUGCGUAGCCGACCUGAGAGGGUGAUCGGCCACACUGGAACUGAGACACGGUCCAGACUCCUACGGGAGGCAGCAGUAGGGAAUAUUCCGCAAUGGGCGAAAGCCUGACGGAGCAACGCCGCGUGAGUGAUGAAGGUCUUCGGAUCGUAAAACUCUGUUAUUAGGGAAGAACAAAUGUGUAAGUAACUAUGCACGUCUUGACGGUACCUAAUCAGAAAGCCACGGCUAACUACGUG
rnacentral:rRNA from 1 species